rnacentral:rRNA from 1 species
AUGGUGCAUGCAAGCAUUGAGCUACCUUCAGCGACUCCAGUCGCAAAGGCUUUCAUCCACCUCGAUGAGCCAAAAGCACACGCUCUUCUCGGCGAUGGCUCCGGGAAGGACAAGACUACGGGGUGGUGCCUCAACACCGGCGCUACCCACCACAUGACCGGUCGAAGGGAAUUCUUCGCCGAGCUCGACUCCGAUGCGCGAGGCUCCGUCAAGUUCGGGGAUGCCUCCGCUGUGGAGAUAAAGGGCGUCGGCUCCGUCAUUUUCACCACCAAGACGGGAGAGCACCAGCUGCUCACCGGUGUCUAUUACAUCCCC